rnacentral:lncRNA from 1 species
GAUGAGAUCGCACGUUUGAACUCUCAUCAAUGCAGCGGCAAUCAUUGAGACGAUCUAAUAUAGACAUCGAAAAUCUGUAACAAGACACCAUGCUGACAGGCAGCCAUCAAAGUGUCUGCACGAUCGGGCCCUUGCCGUCCAGACUCCAUCAUACCAGAUCUCUGGCUGUUGCAGCACCGAUCAGAGGAGCAAUCCAUCGCAGAACAAUAAUUCGAAACGAACAGAAACGAUUACAGCCUGUACGAGCAGAUGCAGAUGACAAGGCUGGAGAAGGCCAGACCAGCACAGCUGUUGAGCCAGGUAAAGUGCUGGGAAGGGAAGGAGAUACCACCCCAUCAGCAACUGAUGUAGAACAACCGGUAUAGAUCGCACCAACCCACUCAGCUUCAGCUGUCUUACAUGGCAGAUAAUCUCACAAGUGUUCGAGUAACAAUUUUUACUGCUUUUAAAGAGGUUCACUUUUGCCCAGGAAGUAUCAGUGGCAACGUCAGAGGAGGAUAUAAAGACACUGAAAGCAGCACUCCAGAUGCAGCGUGAAGGAGCUCAGGAUGUUGGUUUGGUUGAGGUGGGUUGCAGUCUAGUGUGUGCAUGCACCAUGAUGGAGUUGCCAGGCAUCCUGAACAAGCACCAACAACAGAUCUUGCCAAUCCUUGUGCAGGGAAUUCUCGAGGAAGUGAGGUUGAUAUCCUGGCCCAACCCACUACAGGUAUGUUUGGUAUCAUUACUAUAUGUCAAGCUGUGCAGUGUCGAAGGGAAAGCGCCAGAAGUGGGCGUCUUUAAAAAAACUUCUUCUGCAUUGCAGGCAUUGUCAGAUACUUUCGUCGUGAUUGCCAUCG